CUACGGGUGGCUGCAGUGAGGAAUAUUGGUCAAUGGGCGCAAGCCUGAACCAGCCAUCCCGCGUGGAGGAAGACGGCCCUAUGGGUUGUAAACUCCUUUUAUAAGGGAAGAAUAUACGUAUCGUGAUAUGUUUUGACGGUACCUUAUGAAUAAGCAUCGGCUAACUCCGUGCCAGCAGCCGCGGUAAUACGGAGGAUGCAAGCGUUAUCCGGAAUCAUUGGGUUUAAAGGGUGCGCAGGCGGACCAAUAAGUCAGUGGUGAAAUCUUACGGCUCAACCGUGAAACUGCCAUUGAUACUGUUAGUCUUGAGUACGGCUGAGGUAGGCGGAAUGUGUAAUGUAGCGGUGAAAUGCUUAGAUAUUACACAGAACACCAAUUGCGUGGGCAGCUUACUAGACCGUAACUGACGCUGAGGCACGAAAGCGUGGGUAGCGAACAGGAUUAGAUACCCCCGUAGUC
rnacentral:rRNA from 1 species